rnacentral:tRNA from 1 species
UCCGGGGUAGCUCAACGGUAGAGCGCUUCGCUGUUAACGAAGAUGUUCUGGGUUCGAAUCCCAGCCCCGGAG